UACGGAGGGGGCGAGCGUUGUCCGAAGUUACUGGGCGUAAAGCGCGUGUAGGCGGGUUGCCAAGUCCGCUGUGAAAGCCCGAGGCUCAACCUCGGAGGGUCGGUGGAUACUGGCAGUCUUGAAGGUGCUAGGGGGAGAUGGAAUUACCGGUGUAGCGGUGAAAUGCGUAGAGGUCGGUAGGAACACCAGUGGCGAAGGCGGUCUCCUGGGGCAUUCUUGACGCUGAGACGCGAAAUCUUGGGGAGCGAACGGG
rnacentral:rRNA from 1 species